rnacentral:rRNA from 1 species
GUGCCUAAUACAUGCAAGUCGAACGGUCUUUCUAUGGAAGCUUGCUUCCACUGAGAAGAUAGUGGCGAACGGGUGAGUAACACGUGGGGUAACCUGCCCAUAAGAGGGGGAUAACAUCCGGAAACGGGUGCUAAUACCGCAUAGUUUUCUUGAUCGCAUGAUCGGGAAAGGAAAGACGGCCUUUGUGCUGUCGCUUAUGGAUGGACCCGCGGCGUAUUAGUUAGUUGGUGAGGUAACGGCUCACCAAGACGAUGAUACGUAGCCGACCUGAGAGGGUGAUCGGCCACAUUGGGACUGAGACACGGCCCAAACUCCUACGGGAGGCAGCAGUAGGGAAUCUUCCGCAAUGGACGAAAGUCUGACGGAGCAACGCCGCGUGAGUGAAGAAAGGGUUUUCGGAUCGUAAAACUCUGUUGUCAGAGAAGAACAAGUUGGAGAGUAACUGCUCCAGCCUUGACGGUAUCUGACCAGAAAGCCACGGCUAACUACGUGCCAGCCGCAGC